GACGAACGCUGGCGGCGUGCUUAACACAUGCAAGUCGAGCGAUGAAAGCCUUAUGAACUAUUCGUAGUGAUUGAGGCCGGAUUAGCGGCGGACGGGUGAGUAACGCGUGAGCAACCUGCCUUAAACAACGGGAUAGCCUCGGGAAACCGGGAUUAAUACCGGAUGAGACCCCGCCUUCACAUGAAGAAGAGGUUAAAGAUUUAUCGGUUUAAGAUGGGCUCGCGUCUGAUUAGCUAGUUGGUGAGAUAAAAGCCCACCAAGGCAACGAUCAGUACCCGGCUUGAGAGAGUGAACGGUCACAUUGGAACUGAGACACGGUCCAAACUCCUACGGGAGGCAGCAGUGGGGAAUAUUGCACAAUGGGGGAAACCCUGAUGCAGCGACGCCGCGUGAGCGAUGAAGGAAUUCGUUUCGUAAAGCUCUGUCCAAGGGGAAGAUAAUGACAGUACCCUUGGAGGAAGCCCCGGCUAAAUACGUGCCAGCCGCCGCCGUAAUAC
rnacentral:rRNA from 1 species